GGCGGGCGCGCACGCUGUGCACCUGCACCUGUUGGAGCGGGCCUCAACCUGCGCCGCCCUAGCCGACCUCCCAGAUAGACGCCAGCCCGGCUGCGGUCACCUCCCGAAGCGGCCGCAUUUGGCUUUAGGAAAACAAAACAAAAAAGUGGGUUUACAGUUGCACACGUCGACUCCCCUAUGGGACAGCCAGUGGUGAAGACCAUAUUUUGGAGCUAGUUCGGAGAAGGAAGUUCGGUUUUGACUGACAAGUCUCAAGAGAAAGGGAAAUUCCUUUACCUCCCCUUCUGUUGGAGCAGCCACUUGUCACUUCCUGGAGCUGUUGCUGGUCCCUGAGAUGGCCCACAGAGGUCCCUCCAGCCAGAGAGCACCAGCACGCAGGACACUGACGGACCUCCCUGCUCCUGGUGAUGCUACAGUGAAAUGUCAAGCCCAUGUGUCUGCAUCUCUCAGAAGACUCCUUUUAAUCCUUAUGAAGAGGAGAAUGGCAUUCUCUGAGACUUUGCCAGGAAUGGAAGGCAACUCGCCGCUGUUGUGUGAAGAAACCUGGUGAAACUCCAGCAACUUCUACCACUGGCUGGCUGUUGAGUUCUGGCCCUUGAGGUCAAAUUCUAGAAAAGAACCACAUGGUAUGUAUAACCUGGCCAUGUCUCUUGGGUUCUUGGCUGCUGCCAGCAACAUUCUCUGGGUUUGUACUCACAUGAGAACCCUCCUUUACUAUGGAUGUGGAGGUGGAUGUGAAGGUACAGCUCACGAAUCCCGGACUAUGCGGGUGUAGACCAAGAAGACACCAGGAGGAGAGGCCUACAGUGAACCCAGCCUGAGCGGGUUACAACGGGGGCAGCCAGGCACCUGUCCUAGCGGAGAGGGAUAAUCAUCUGGAGUCUUCGCGACUGAUCCAACCUGAAACGAGUGCCCGUUGGGAGUCUCAGGUCCUCCCCAGCUCACAGGCAGGAGCAGGAAAGCCCGGAUCCCGCCUCGGGUUCUCACCAAGCCAAGCGACCCGGAGCGCUCCCGGAGGCGCCCAGAGGCCGGCCGGCUGGGGGUGGGGCUCGUGCUGUGACGCCGCCCCCCGCCUCGCCCCGCCCCGCGCGCGUUGCCGGGGUGAUCAGGUGACUCGGAGCUCCCGGCGCUCCGGGCAGCCGUGACGUCAGACUUGCCGCGGCU